UUUCCCAAAACACAACUCAUCGAUUUUCCCUAGUCUCCAAAUGCACUCCUCUCUGCCUCCCUCUAUCCAUCUCUCAAAAUUUAUAUUUUCUCAAAGCAAAGGUUACAAAUUUGUUGAUUUACGAAUCGCAGGUCUACUCUUGUUUUCAACUUUGCUCAUUUACGAAUCUCAGAGCAUGAACAAUAGUUCAGAGAAAGGGACAAGAACGUGGACAAGGACUUAGAUCUUUGGUUGAAAAAGAGAAUAUACCAAUUAAAAGUUUAUUUCCUAUGCAACACUUCCAAACAGUUGAAACAUGUUCAUCUAAUCCUGCAAAGGUAAAAGGAGUUCGACGUAGGAACAAGUGCAAAGAAGUUGCAUCACUUGAAGUCGGAUAAAAGCUGAAAGUAACCUUUUACAACAAUCGAACGGUUGGAAUAAAGAGCAAAUUAUUUUCGAGGCACUUGGGAAAAAUAGUUCGUGACUGCAAUAUGUGUCCUUUGGGAGUAUCAUCGUGGAAUGAUAUUAAGCAAGAAAAGUUAAAACAUAUGUGGGCAGCUAUUGAGGUAACAAAUGUAGUUAAGAAUACACCUGUGCAUUUUGAGUUGCACAUAUAAUGGUGUUAUAUGCGUUGUUGCGAGGAAGAAUAUAGGUGUAGUUAGAUGUGGUUGCAAACUUUUUAUUCAUAGAGUGUAUUUUUCUUAUUAGAACAUGUUCAAUAUUUUUGCAUUCUGUAUCUGAUUCUUAAUAUAGUGGUUCUUUUGGGUUUCUAAUAGUUUUCUAUUUGUGUAAUUGCGUGAACGUGAUGAUAAUGGAAAGUAUAUUAUAGUGAAAUGCGGCUGUGUUGUCAUA